UAAGUUUAAAUACAGCAAUGCUGUGGGGUCAGUAAGGCCUGGAGAGGGAAAGGGUGGACCCUUAGAUGUAGAUCUUUUGAAGUGAAAAAUUGUUUGGAAGAGUUAAGUGGCCUGGUGUUCAGUGACACCAUCUAACAACAACCCUUGUCUCUUAUUUUCAAGGAAGUAGCUGGAAACACUGGCUGCACCUCUGUGUCUCUUGGAGGUCACUUGCUGAUUUAUCUCCAAUUCAUAGCUCAUUAGAAGGUGUGUAGCUCUUCAGAGAUGUUGUUAUUUAACAGUGGAGAGGAGAGGAAGAAUUCCAGACACGUCAUCCUGAUUUCACAAGUCUUCAGAGAUCUCCAGAGUGGACUUACCCAUCUGUGUGAGGAGGAAGGCUAUACAUGCAAAUUCAGAUUCCUGAUGCAUUCCCACUAA
rnacentral:lncRNA from 12 species